AAUGAACGUUGGCGGCGUGGAUUAGGCAUGCAAGUCGCGCGAGAAAUUUCCUUCGGGAGAUGGAAAGCGGCGAAAAGGAGAGGAAUAAGUAGAAAUCUGCCCUCGGGACGGGGAUAGCGGCGGGAAACUGCCGGUAAUACCCGAUAACAUCUUCGGAUCAAAUGGUGCGAUUCCGCCUGGGGAUGAGUCUACUUCCUAUUAGCUAGUUGGCGGGGUAAUGGCCCACCAAGGCAACGAUGGGUAGCGGGUGUGAGAGCACGAUCCGCCUCACUGGGACUGAGACACUGCCCAGACACCUACGGGUGGCUGCAGUCGAGAAUCUUCGGCAAUGGGGGAAACCCUGACCGAGCGACGCCGCGUGCGGGAUGAAGGCCCUCGGGUUGUAAACCGCUGUCGUAAGGGAACAAAUCUAUGAGGGUACUCUCUCAUAGUUGAGUGAUCUUAGGAGGAAGGACGGGCUAAGUUCGUGCCAGCCGCCGCGGUAAGAC
rnacentral:rRNA from 1 species